rnacentral:lncRNA from 1 species
GUGCCUGUGCAUCCUCUCCAGCUCCUCCAGGGGCCUGUGAGGUUGAUAAGAAACGCCUCACUCCUUUCGCUCGAGGUGCCCAUUUCUGGCUACUCUGUGACCACUUGCACUGGCUUUGAUUCCCUGGGGGAAUGAAGACAUUUGGAGAAGAAGCGUUUACUGAAAGGAGAUUCCUGGGCUGGAGGAAAACCAUGAUCUACAGUUCAUGUUGACAGAUAUUGUAUUUUUGGUCCUAGAUCUGACUUUUGAAAUGACUUAUCACAAAUUCAAAUUUAGCAAUCAUGAGUGAAGUACCCACGAUGUGCUAAGCAUCUACCUCUGCAGAUAGAAGAACACUUACUGUUCCUGAGCAUGGGAGGGAAUAGAAGUUCCUGGGUCCUGGCCUCACCUCAUCAGGCACUGCCAAAUUUGACACCUCCUUCCUGUUCACGGCAGUCCUUUGCGAUAGGGUAUUAGAUGCCACCAAGUAGCUGCAUAACUCACCCAUUUGGUCAGAGCCUGGGUCUAAGCCAGGUCUGACAGACUCCAAAGCAAGCCCUGUUUACAGCAUGACUGGGAUCCAGUGGACGAGGGAACUGAGCUGUCAAAACUAAGUGACUUGAUUGAGGCCAUGCAGCUGGCGAGGGGAGGACCAGGAUCUGAACCCAACUGGGUCUCCCAAGCCUGGGCCACUGAACCAUUUCACCUCUUGGAAAAACUUAAUGGUCAGAGUGGCCCACCCAGUCCAUGGACAGCAUGGAGGAUAAACUGCUUCCCUAGAAAUCCUCUCCAGCAUUCUUGCCACCACGACUUUGGGACACAUUGACCAUGAGGAGGAGCUGGUCAAUGAUGGACAGGAGUCCAGAUUAGCAGAGAUGUGGUAAUAAGGACACCGAUGCCUAAAUACUUGAAAUAUCCAAUAGGAAGCAUUCCACCUUUGUGCAAAUGCGAACCACAUCUCACCAAGUUCAGGCCAAGGCUGCCACCGGUGACGUUUUGGAAAAGAAAAAAAAAAGCGGGGGGAGAGGAGAGAAACAGAGAAGCAAGGAAUGCAGAAGAGAGCAGAGGCCACAAAAACAGCAGCAACGUGUCCUGUGUAUUCUGUUUCCUUGUAAAACUAUGAAGCAUGUUAAGGAGAUACUUCAUUUUUUGAGGAUUCAUACUCUUGUUUAUAUUAUAAUAAAAACAACCCAUGUUCUUUCUAAAAAUUUAGGCAAUGCCUUCGUGCACAUAAAAGUAAAACAAAAUCACCUGUAAUCCUACCACACGCAGAUCAGCACUUGCUAAUCUUUUCACAGGGAUCCUAAGAAUAUCCUAUUCUCUAUAGAAUAUAGUUGAUUUAUGUUACCUAAUAACUAACUGUUAACCAUUUUAAAAUUCUUCAGUUUUACAUUAUGCUAGAAAAAAGGAGCCGUCACUCUACGUGACAUUUCUGUAUAUUGGUUUAUUCAUUCAAUAAACAUUUUUUAAGUACCUAC